AUGUGAAUUAUUGUUCCUGAAGUUUUUCAGCUUAGUUUGGAAGAAAACCUUCAAGGUACAUUGUUCAACUCUAUUGAAUAAAUUGCAGGUAGAUUGGAUUUAAUCUUCCAGUUGCUGAUCUUUUCCAUCAUUUGUGUUGUUAGGGAAAAAAGAUCAUGUUGUCCUCAGUUGGAAUCAGAGAUAUAAGAUUGCUAUCAAUGUAGCUGAGGCACUUGAUUAUCUACAUAGCCGCAGUGCUUAGUCCAUUAUCCAUAGGGAUGUGAAAUCAUCGAACAUCCUUCUAGCCGAUGAUUUUGAGCCACAUAAUACAAAUGACCAUAUCGCUUGGGACUGGGAGUGAUGAAGUGCAAGUGCAAAAUGCAUUACCCCUCAUUCUGCAGUUUAUCAGCUCAAGAGGACAUGCAUUCUGAAAGCUUUCUCUAAGUUUGGGAGUGGAGAUAAAAAAGAAGCCACCUUUGUUAUUCCUGAGCUUAGGAAGUUGUCAGCUGAUGGCAAAGCUGGCAAUCUCACCAUCUUACUUUUUCUCCAGGGGAAGCUGCAAUUACUUCCAGUGAAAGUGAUCUACUCAAAGACCAAUUCGAUCUGGCAUCUUUUCCAUGUGAUGUAACAUCGAUGGAUGCCUACUUGAUAAAGUUCUUCCUAGUCGUCUAUCGAAAGACCAAAGAUCCUGGUUUGGACAGCCAUUACUGCAAAUACGACAACAACGGCCUUUAGCUAUU